GUUUUUCUGAAAAAUAAGCAUUCCACGAUUCCAUAGUUGAAAUAUAGCAAAAUUUUUAUUUUUUUUAAAAACUAGCCAACUAUUUUUUCAUCCAGACAAAAAUUCCCUUUAUUUUGGUUUUUUUCUUUUUUUUUUUUUUGUUUUUUUGUUUUUUGUUUUAAUGUACUUUCCCCUUUUCCCUUCCAAAAGCAUUCUAGGGGUUUUUUAUCCACUUUCCCCCUUUCUCAUCCAAAAUGCUUUCUGUGGUUUUUUUCUCUACUUUUCCUUUCCCCUUCAAAAAUACCAUCGCCGUUGCCACUUCGACCACAUUCUAGGGCUGUUUUUCUCUACUUUCCCUCUUUUCCGUCCAAAACACAUUCCAAGUUUUUUUUUUUCUUCUCUACUGUCCCUUUCCCCAUCGCCAUUUCAACCACUUCGCCGUUGCCAUUUGCCGGCAUCUUUCUUGCACCACCAUCGUCCCACUAAGAGCCAAAGGCUUUCGUUUAUUUGGGCGGUUUUCAUGUUUUGGCUUGGUUCUUAAAGGUAUGGCUCCUUUAUUAGCCCAAACAAAAUUCACAGUGUAUUGAGCAAGGAAUUUCAUCACUUUCCAAUGGCAAUGUUAGGCAGCUUGGAGGGAUUUAGCUUUAUAUGCAUAGAUAAACUCAAGGCAAAGAUUAUUGGUUAAUGGCCUGCUAUAGAAGUAUGGUACAAACUUGGCUCAAAAGGAAGCAAAUAGGGAAGAAAAAUUACUAAUCAAACAACUAGAGAAAGAUAAAUGAGAAGCUGAAAAAAGAGAAAAGGAAAUUGGAAUGCGAGCUGUUACUUCAUCAUGUUUAUAGAUGCAUAUUUUUUCUUCUAAGGUUUUGAUGUUCAUUUAACAAAGAUAAUGAUGGAUUUUGAUGUAAAGAUAACUAAUUUAUUUUCUUGAAAAUGUAACAUUUUUAUUAGAAUU